rnacentral:rRNA from 1 species
GCUUAACGCGAAGAACCUUACCACCUUUUGACAUGCCUGGACCGCCACAGAGAUGUGGCUUUCCCUUCGGGGACUGGGACACAGGUGCUGCAUGGCUGUCGUCAGCUCGUGUCGCGAGAUGUUGGGUUAAGUCCCGCAACGAGCGCAACCCUCGCCAUUAGUUGCCAUCAUUCAGUUGGGAACUCUAAUGGGACUGCCGGUGCUAAGCCGGAGGAAGGUGGGAAUGACGUCAAGUCCUCAUGGCCCUUACAGGGUGGGCUACACACGUGCUACAAUGGCGACUACAGAGGGUUAAUCCUUAAAAGUCGUCUCAGUUCGGAUUGUCCUCUGCAACUCGAGGGCAUGAAGUUGGAAUCGCUAGUAAUCGCGGAUCAGCAUGCCGCGGUG